AUGGACAACCAACAGUCCAGGUUUUGUCAGUAUCUCCAUUUGAAUGAAAAAGGGAAAUACUUAAAUCCUGGACUGUUGGUGGUCCAUGAGGACU